AUUUAAAGCAACGUCGGCCAUUAUCCAGCCUGGAGAGACACCACAUAAAGAAACGUUGUCGACUUGCAAUAUCGAUUAAGGAUGUAGGGACACCAUAAGCAGUGUGAAUGGGACUAAUUUGACUUGGCAAGUCUGCAUCAUGCUUAGAUUGUUUUGGACAGGUAAGUGACCAUUUCUAAAAGCUAACCUCUUAAUGCUAAUUUGUGUUGGAUGGAUGCAGAAUCACCUGCCAAUUGAACAGUGAUCAUUUGCUUCCUAUCGGCACCUGUCAAAUGUGGCUAAAACUCUCUUGAAAUAUAGAUAUACAGCUUUUAUAUAGUACAGAACACAACACAGUCACCCUUAUUAAAUCAAGGUGGUCCUACAGCAUAUUGACAGUGUUAUGGCAGGUGUUUCCGUUUUGAUUUGGUGUACAGUAACAAUUUCAGUGGAUUUGCCACAUUUAAUGUAAUUUAUAUUAUUUUUUAGGUUUAGCAUAUGAGAUGCUACCUACGUAAUAUACAUUUUUAUGUUCCUUUAUUUGUAGAAUAUCUGGGUAAAGUCUUCAUAUCCAAGGCAAUUUCUUUUAGGGUUAGGGUUGUUUGAUUUUAUUUUAUUUUUUUUUUAAAUAUAUAUAGUGUCCCAGACAUGAAUCGGGGUUUAUUUCAAAUCUCUGAAUAUCAUAUAUUUUCCUAUUUUGUUUCCUUAAGUAUCGUAGGGCAUGCUGGCAGGGAAAAAGCCAAGAUGUUUAUAUCCAUAUUUUAAUUGUUUUGUUAACUUGUAUUGUAGUUACUAAUGGUACCAGAUAGUACUAGAAGUUUAGAUCUGUAAUAAUGAAGUAAAACGCUUCAGGCAAGUUUCACAUACCCCGAUUAGCAUUCAUCUUGGACUACUUUACCUAAAUAUUAUAUAGUUCAACACUAGUGCUAAUCUGGGUCUGUGAAAUCAGACCUUUAUGAUCCAGGGUUACAUCUAAACCCCCCUCCCUCCCUAAUUUGUUUUGCAUUGUAUAUGGUAUCUGUAUUUUCUUGUAUUUGAGGGGUGCCAGUGUGUGGGUUAAUGAAAUGUAAAGUAUCAGCAUAGAAAAUACUCCUACACUUGAGUUCCUUUUGCUUUCUAUACCAUCUGGGUCUAUGUAGGUCUGCCCUGUGGUAUAUCGGUAGUUUUAAUAGUAGGAUUGGCUUUCUUUGGCAUCUUGAAGUUUGAAACUGUUCAGAGUUCAUCUUUUAAGGUGUUUUUUUUUUUUUUUUUUUCAGUAUUUCUUUGUACUGGAUUUAAAUAUUGCAUCUUGUUAUAAAAACCUCCCUUUUCCAUUUACAGUCUGUUGGUGUGACUUAAUACAGGUUCAUGUAUUGUAAUUGUGUAUUAGGAAUCCUGUAAUUUUAAAAAGAAAAAAUGUUGCAAAGUUAAAACUAAUCCACUCAGGUUGAUUUUAAGAGUCUUUUUAAAGGGGUAUAGCUAAUAACGUAAUAAAUCUUACCUGUAGAUGUAGAUAUUUUGAAAGCUUGUAUAGCAAAAGUGUGUUAAUAAAAAAAGAUUAAGUGCCUUAA